rnacentral:rRNA from 1 species
AUUGAACGCUGGCGGCAGGCUUCACACAUGCAAGUCGAGCGAGCGGCGGACGGGUGAGUAAUGUCUGGGAAACUGCCUGAGGGAGGGGGAUAACCACUGGAAACGGUAGCUAAUACCGCAUACCAUCAGAUGGGCCCAGAUGAGAUUAGCUAGUAGGUGGGGUAAUGGCUCACCUAGGCGACGAUCCCUAGCUGGUCUGAGAGGAUGAACAGCCACACUGGAAAGUAGACACGGGCCAUACUGCUACGGGAGGCAGUAGUGGGGAAGAUUGCACAAUGGGCGCAAGCCUGCUGCAGCCAUGCCGCGUGUGUGAAGAAGGCCUUCGGGUUGUAAAGCACUUUCAGCGAGGAGGCGUUACUCGCAGAAGAAGCACCGGCUAACUCCGGGCCAGCAGCCGCGGUAAUAC